UGGCUGAGCACACUCAGAGCUCACAAGCAAAUAGGCUUAAUCACUGUCACCCUUCUAGAAAAUGAUCGCCCUCUCCUAGAAACAAAGCCCCUAAGUCCCUUACCCUGUGACUCAGAAAAGCCCCAAACAGUACUCAGACCAGAUCAAAGUCGCUGUGCCAGCUGUGAACAGCCACUUGGGCAUCUGAUACAGAGGACAUGGAGGAUCAGCAGCAGACUCUCAAAUGACACUUUCAAAAAUAAGCUGCUGUCGACGUUUCUGCCCUGGCCAUUGAGUUACAGGAAGCUGCUGCAGUGGGGCUUGACAGCUGCCAAGUUCCUCUCCCCCUGACAGACUAGCAAUGGCUGGCAGACACUGCACUUCAAACCUAAGAGCGCCUGUACGUGCACAAUCACGGCCUUCUGCUGAAGGUGGAGGGCACCUCUGGAGCAGCAGGAUGCCGAGAGCAGCAGGCCCCUCCACAGUGCCACUUUCAGACAUGAACUCUGCACCAUCCCGAGAGCAGUAUACCUGGUAGAGCCACUUCCACUGGAAUGGAACAGCAAGUUUAAGGAGAAAUGCAAUGAUCCUGGUGAAGUAUAUGUAACACACAAUCUGUAUGAAGAGGAAGGAAACAAAACACAAAAUCAACAGAGAAGUUAUAACCAUUUUCUUCGAAUAAAUUGCUUUCACAAACUCACUACAAAACAGAAAACA